UCGGCCAUGUUUCGUUUCAAAUUAAUAUAAUUUGAAACUUCUGUUCCCGAUUGUCCGCGAUAGAGAGAGGAGAGCAGAGAGGAAAGAAGAGAGAACCCAGCUCACAUCCAUGAUCGAACUGCGAUUUCUCCACCUCAGAGACAGAGAUCGAUAAGCUUCACAAAGUUCUGGUUUCGAAUAUCUUUUGGAACUCGCAUAGGAAGAGGAGAGAAGAAGAAACAGGAGCUCGCCCCCUUGUGAAUUCUCCUUUGCAGAGUAGGUAUUGGGACAAAUUUUGGGGUUUUUCUAGACCACCUAUCGUAUAGCUCAUACAGAGAGUUUCCCAAAGAUGAGUUCUUGCAUUGUAAACGUUGGAGGUGUUGAGGUUCAUACCACACCACCAUAGUGAUCAAGUCUGCUUCGAUGCUUGAUACUUACGUUCACAAGCUGAGGGCACUUUGUGCCGGCAACGCAGAACCUAUUUGUGGACUCAUGUGGAGUGGAACCCCAACUCAAGCCAAAAGGUUCCAAUAAUGCAGCUUUACAUAGGCACCGGAUGCCACAUUAUCCAGCUUUGUUUCUUUAAUGUGGUCUAUGAAGAACUUAGUAGCUGAUCCUGUAAUCUCCUUUGUGGGUGUUGGAAUCACUGAAGACAUUGCCAAGCUCAGGAAGGAUUAUGGGCAUGUAUGUAGGAAUGCUAUUGAGGUGGGCCCACUUGCUGCAAGGGUUCAUGGGAAUACCAAGUAUAAAGAAUAUGGGUUAGCUGAUUUGGCCUGUGAAAUUGUUGGGCUUAUUGUUGAGAAGCCCACAAGUGUAACUUUCUCCAA